rnacentral:rRNA from 1 species
AGUUUGAUCCUGGCUCAGGACGAACGCUGGCGGCGUGCCUAAUGCAUGCAAGUCGCACGCACCCGCUUCGGCGGGUGAGUGGCGCACGGCUGAGUAACACGUGGGAACCCGCCCCCCGGUGGGGGAUAACGCGACGAAAGUUGCGCUAAUCCCGCAUACGUCCUUCGGGGGAAAGCGCAGUGCGCGCCGGGGGAGGGGCCUGCGGCCCAUCAGGUCGUUGGUGGGGUAAUGGCCUACCAAGCCGAUGACGGGUAGCUGGUCUGGGAGGAUGACCAGCCAGACUGGGACUGAGACACGGCCCAGACUCCUACGGGAGGCAGCAGCAAGGAAUUUUCGGCAAUGGGCGCAAGCCUGACCGAGCAACGCCGCGUGCGGGAUGACGGCCUUCGGGUUGUAAACCGCUUUUCGGGGGGACGACCCUGACGGUACCCCCGGAAUCAGCCCCGGCUAACUCUGUGCCAGCAGCCGCGGUAAGACAGAGGGGGCGAGCGUUGUCCGGAGUCACUGGGCGUAAAGCGCGCGCAGGCGGCAACCUAAGUGUCGUGUGAAAGCCCCCGGCUCAACCGGGGGAGGCCAUGGCAAACUGGGUCGCUCGAGCUGCGGAGAGGCCCCUCGAAUUGCCGGUGUAGCGGUGAAAUGCGUAGAGGUCGGCAGGAAGACCAAGGGGGAAGCCAGGGGGCUGGCCGCAGGCUGACGCUGAGGCGCGACAGCGUGGGGAGCAAACCGGAUUAGAUACCCGGGUAGUCCACGCCGUAAACGAUGACCACUCGGCGUGUGGCGACUAUUGACGUCGCGGCGCGCCCUAGCUCACGCGAUAAGUGGUCCGCCUGGGAACUACGAGCGCAAGCUUAAAACUCAAAGGGAAUUGACGGGGGCCCGCACAAGCAGCGGAGCGUGUGGUUUAAUUCGACGCA